rnacentral:snoRNA from 14 species
UAUGGGUAUGUUAUCCUGUUUUUGGUAGCCCCUGGGGACUGUGUGUGAGGCUAUGUCUGCCCUAGGGCUGGGCCAGUUUAUUCAAUGCCUGGGAGCCCAAGGUA